rnacentral:rRNA from 1 species
UGGGGAAUAUUGCACAAUGGGCGAAAGCCUGAUGCAGCGACGCCGCGUGAGGGAUGAAGGCCUUCGGGUUGUAAACCUCUUUCAGCAGGGAAGAAGCGCAAGUGACGGUACCUGCAGAAGAAGCGCCGGCUAACUACGUGCCAGCAGCCGCGGUAAUACGUAGGGCGCAAGCGUUGUCCGGAAUUAUUGGGCGUAAAGAGCUCGUAGGCGGUUUGUCGCGUCUGGUGUGAAAACUCGAAGCUCAUCCUCGAGCUUGCAUCGGGUACGGGCAGACUAGAGUGCGGUAGGGGAGACUGGAAUUCCUGGUGUAGCGGUGGAAUGCGCAGAUAUCAGGAGGAACACCGAUGGCGAAGGCAGGUCUCUGGGCCGCAACUGACGCUGAGGAGCGAAAGCAUGGGGAGCGAACA